rnacentral:rRNA from 1 species
CACGCCUACGGGGGGCAGCAGUGGGGAAUAUUGGGCAAUGGGCGCAAGCCUGACCCAGCAACGCCGCGUGAAGGAAGAAGGCUUUCGGGCUGUAAACUUCUUUUGUCAGGGACGAAGCAAGUGACGGUACCUGACGAAUAAGCCACGGCUAACUACGUGCCAGCAGCCGCGGUAAUACGUAGGUGGCAAGCGUUAUCCGGAUUUACUGGGUGUAAAGGGCGUGUAGGCGGGGAGGCAAGUCAGCUGUGAAACCCACGGGCUCACCCUGUGGCCUGCAUUUGAAACUUGUUUUCUUGAGUGCUGGG